GACUCUGAGCCAGCUGCCUCUCUAAGCUUGGAGCUUGGGAGUGCCGUCUGGCCAGACUCAUAAAGGUCUGUUCUACUUUCCAACUUGUCCGGUGUGUUCCUUCCCGGGUGUUCUUCGCUGCAGUCAGCUCCUCGGAGCGUUUGAUACUGCUGAGAUUCAUCGGUAGAGCUGAGUGCUUAUGAUUUUCAGAUCAUGCUCAGUGAUUCCACAAAGCAGUAAGUGAAGAGAAGAGCAUGAAGUACUGAACUCCUGAGCCCUGCUCCUUCCCACAAAUGCUGCUUGUGUUCACCUCCUCCUUCAUCUGCAAAAUUGGCCGAUACUGUCCUUUAGAGGAAAUCAUUCCCAGGUUAGGAUCUGAUUCUGAAUAAUGCCUUGCAUUUAUUGGGCUGCUUAGUCUGUUUAGUUUGGGGCGGUCCUUGCCUUUGUUUGCAUGAUACUGACGUUUGUGAGGAGACCGUUGUGCUAUUGGCAGUUCCUCACUUAGGGUCUGAUAGUUUCCUCAUGACUCAGGAAAUGUAUUUAUUGGCAAGAACACUGAAUACAUGAUAUGUCCCCAGGUGUCAGAUCAGGAGGUAAAUAAUGUCAGUUUGUCCUAUUAUUGCUAAUGUUGGCUCUGAUCUCUUGGCUAAGGUAGUAUCUACCAGAUUUUUCCACUCACAAGGUAUCUUUUUCCCUUUAUGACUUGUGGAGUCUUCUAUCAAUGUUGUUUGAUAAUUGUUUCUUUUGAUAUGUGUAAUACACACCUUACCAGUAGAAGGCAAAUUCCUUCAUUGUUUUUGCCUGUCAAAAUGUCAACUCCAACAGGAUGCAUGCCACUUUCCAGAGAGGGGUGAUAGCACCUCCACUAUUUUGCAUGGUCAUCUGUUGGCACCAGGAAGCUGUUUUUGCACAGGGCCGCACACUCCAUAGGCUGAAUGCAGGCAGCCCCAGCAACUCCAGUAGUGAAAUCCAUUUUCUCCAUUGCAGUAGUCUGGACAGAUGACUGCUUUUCUGAACCAGCUCUCAGCAAAAAAGGGGCAUUUUUCACCUGGGCACUCACUACACCCCCUACAGCUAUGGCAGAGGAGGUAGCAUCCCCAGGUGUUUUUGCUUAUACUCUUUUUAAUGUCUAAAUAAAAAGAAUAGAAAGAAGCCUUUGUUUUAAUGCACAUGAAUAUGUACAUAUACUUUUUUGUUAUCUUAGAAUUUUAUAUUUGGAAUUGAUAAUUGAAUGAGAAUGUUGCAUAGGUCCACCAAUAAAAUAUAAUCUGUUUAUUGGCUAUCUUAGCUACUUUUCUUGUUCCUGAGACACAAUACCUGAUACCCACAACUCUAAAGAGGAGAGGUUUAUUUUGGCUCACAGUUUGUAGAGGUUUCAGUCCAUAGUCACCUGGCUUCAAGGCAGGGUGGCAUGGCAGAGGAUAUGGCAGAGAAGAAACAGUCCAUGGCAGGCAGGAUACAGCGAGGAAUCAAGGGAGGAGGAGGGAGACAGACCCCUCCAGGUCAUCCCCACAGUGACCACCUCCUCUCACCAGGUUGUAUCUCCCAACAUCACAUUUAGCUACAAACCCAUCAGUGGACUAAUCCAGUGAUGAGUAUCACACCCC
rnacentral:lncRNA from 1 species